GGCUUCGUGGUCGAGUGGUAAGGACACUUGCCUCACACGCUGAGGUCCAGAGUUCGAUCCCCCAAGAAGCUA